rnacentral:sRNA from 1 species
CCGAGUGCCGCUCACGCCC